GCCCAGAUAGCUGAGUCUGUAGAGCACCAGACUUUUAAUCUGAGGGUCCGGGGUUCAAGUCCCUGUUCAGGGG
rnacentral:tRNA from 1 species